rnacentral:rRNA from 1 species
AUUGAACGCUGGCGGCAUGCCUUACACAUGCAAGUCGAACGGUAACGGGCCUUCGGGUGCCGACGAGUGGCGAACGGGUGAGUAAUGCAUCGGAACGUACCUUUCAGUGGGGGAUAACGUAGCGAAAGUUACGCUAAUACCGCAUAUUCUGUGAGCAGGAAAGCAGGGGAUCGCAAGACCUUGCGCUGAUUGAGCGGCCGAUGUCAGAUUAGCUAGUUGGUGAGGUAAAGGCUCACCAAGGCGACGAUCUGUAGCGGGUCUGAGAGGAUGAUCAGCAACCCUGGGACUGGGACACGGCCCAGACUCCUACGGGAGGAAGCAGUGGGGAAUUUUGGACAAUGGGGGCAACCCUGAUCCAGCCAUGCCGCGGGAGUGAAGAAGGCCUUCGGGUUGUAAGGCUCUUUCGGCCGGGAAGAAAUCGCACAGGCUAAUACCUUGUGUGGAUGACGGUACCGGAAUAAGAAGCACCGGCUAACUACGUGCCAGCAGCCGCCGUAAAAC